UGAUUAAUACUGGAUACUCCUUCUCUAUCUAAUUAGAGUCGGGAAAGUUUUUCGCUAAGAGAUCGGUCUAUAUCCCAUCAGUUAGUUGGUAAGGUAACGGCUUACCCAGGCAAUGACGGGUAGCGGGUUUGAGAGGAUGAUCCGCCACACUGGUACUGAGACACGGACCAGACUCCUACGGGAGGCAGCAGUGAGGAAUAUUGCACAAUGGAGGAAACUCUGAUGCAGCAACGCCGCGUGGAGGAUGACGCAUUUCGGUGUGUAAACUCCUUUUAUAUGUCAAGAAAAUGACGGUAGCAUAUGAAUAAGCACCGGCUAACUCCGUGCCAGCAGCCGCGGUAAUACGGAGGGUGCAAGCGUUACUCGGAAUCACUGGGCGUAAAGGACACGUAGGCGGGAAGCCAAGUCUGAUGUGAAAUCCUACAGCUUAACUGUAGAACUGCAUUGGAAACUGGUUACCUAGAGUAUGGGAGGGGGAGAUGGAAUUAGUGGUGUAGGGGUAAAAUCCGUAGAUAUCACUAGGAAUACCAAAAGCGAAGGCGAUUCUCUGGAACAGUACUGACGCUGAGACGCGAAAGCGUGGGGAGCAAACAGGAUUAGAUACCCUGGUAGUCCACGCAGUAAACGAUGAAUGUUAGUCGUUGGAGUGCUAGACACUUCAGUGAUGCAGUUAACACAUUAAACAUUCCGCCUGGGGAGUACGGUCGCAAGAUUAAAACUCAAAGGAAUAGACGGGGACCCGCACAAGUGGUGGAGCAUGUGGUUUAAUUCGAAGAUACGCGAAGAACCUUACCUAGCCUUGACAUAUAUCAGAACCUGUCAGAGACGACGGGGUGCCUUCGGGAGCUGAUAUACAGGUGCUGCACGGUUGUCGUCAGCUCGUGUCGUGAGAUGUUGGGUUAAGUCCCGCAACGAGCGCAACCCUCGUCACUAGUUACUAACGGUUAGGCCGAGGACUCUAGUGAGACUGCCUUCGCAAGGAGGAGGAAGGUGAGGACGACGUCAAGUCAUCAUGGCCCUUACGGCUAGGGCAACACACGUGCUACAAUGGGCAGGACAAUGAGAAGCGAUACCGUGAGGUGGAGCAAAUCUAUAAACCUGCUCUCAGUUCGGAUUGUAGUCUGCAACUCGACUACAUGAAGCUGGA
rnacentral:rRNA from 1 species